AUUGAACGCUGGCGGCAGGCUUAACACAUGCAAGUCGAGCGGAGAUGAGGUGCUUGCACCUUAUCUUAGCGGCGGACGGGUGAGUAAUGCUUAGGAAUCUGCCUAUUAGUGGGGGACAACAUUCCGAAAGGAAUGCUAAUACCGCAUACGUCCUACGAGAGAAAGCAGGGGAUCUUCGGACCUUGCGCUAAUAGAUGAGCCUAAGUCGGAUUAGCUAGUUGGUGGGGUAAAGGCCUACCAAGGCGACGAUCUGUAGCGGGUCUGAGAGGAUGAUCCGCCACACUGGGACUGAGACACGGCCCAGACUCCUACGGGAGGCAGCAGUGGGGGAUAUUGGACAAUGGGGGAAACCCUGAUCCAGCCAUGCCGCGUGUGUGAAGAAGGCCUUAUGGUUGUAAAGCACUUUAAGCGAGGAGGAGGCUACUGAGACUAAUACUCUUGGAUAGUGGACGUUACUCGCAGAAUAAGCACCGGCUAACUCUGUGCCAGCCGCCGCAGUAA
rnacentral:rRNA from 1 species